rnacentral:rRNA from 1 species
UACGUAGGGUGCAAGCGUUGUCCGGAAUUAUUGGGCGUAAAGAGCUCGUAGGCGGUCUGUCGCGUCGGCUGUGAAAACCCGGGGCUCAACCCCGGGCCUGCAGUCGAUACGGGCAGACUAGAGUGCGGUAGGGGAGACUGGAAUUCCUGGUGUAGCGGUGAAAUGCGCAGAUAUCAGGAGGAACACCGGUGGCGAAGGCGGGUCUCUGGGCCGUAACUGACGCUGAGGAGCGAAAGCUAGGGGAGCAAACGGG